rnacentral:rRNA from 1 species
UACGAAGGGGGCUAGCGUUGCUCGGAAUCACUGGGCGUAAAGCGCACGUAGGCGGAUCUUUAAGUCAGGGGUGAAAUCCCAAGGCUCAACCUUGGAACUGCCUUUGAUACUGGGGAUCUCGAGUCCGGAAGAGGUGAGUGGAACUGCGAGUGUAGAGGUGAAAUUCGUAGAUAUUCGGAAGAACACCAGUGGCGAAGGCGGCUUUCUGGUCUGUAACUGACGCUGAGGCGCGAAAGCGUGGGGAGCAAACAGG